rnacentral:RNase_P_RNA from 1 species
CCAGGCAGCCGGAUGGCCGCCGGAGCGCAAGCUCUGGAGGAAAGUCCGGGCUCCACUUAAGCACGGUGGCGGGUAACGCCCGCCGGGGGUAACCUUAGGAAAAGUGCCACAGAAAAUAUACCGCCCUCCGAAGCUUCGGCAUAGGAGGGUAAGGGUGAAAUGGUGCGGUAAGAGCGCACCGCGGCUCCGGUAACGGAGACGGCAGGGCAAACUCCACCGGGAGCAAGACCAAAUAGGGACGGCGCGUGCUUAAGCGCUAUGUCGUCCGGGUAGGUUGCGUGAGGCGCCGGGUAACCGGCGCCCCAGAGGAAUGGCCAUUCUCGACAGAACCCGGCUUACAGGCUGCCUGGCUUU